rnacentral:rRNA from 1 species
AUUGAACGCUGGCGGCAUGCCUUACACAUGCGAGUCGGACGGCAGCACGGGAGCAAUCCUGGUGGCGAGUGGCGAACGGGUGAGUAAAGUAUCGGAACGUGCCCAGUCGUGGGGGAUAACGUAGCGAAAGUUACGCUAAUACCGCAUACGAUCUAUGGAUGAAAGCGGGGGAUCGCAAGACCUCGCGCGAUUGGAGCGGCCGAUAUCAGAUUAGGUAGUGGGUGGGGUAAAGGCUCACCAAGCCGACGAUCUGUAGCUGGUCUGAGAGGACGACCAGCCACACUGGGACUGAGACACGGCCCAGACUCCUACGGGAGGAAGCAGUGGGGAAUUUUGGACAAUGGGCGAAAGCCUGAUCCAGCCAUGCCGCGUGCAGGAUGAAGGCCUUCGGGUUGUAAACUGCUUUUGUACGGAACGAAAAGGUUUGGCCUAAUAAGCUGAGCUCAUGACGGUACCGUAAGAAUAAGCACCGGCUAACUACGUGCCAGCAGCCGCCGUAA